GAUGAACGCUGGCGGCGUGCCUAAUACAUGCAAGUCGAGCGAACGGACGAGAAGCUUGCUUCUCUGAUGUUAGCGGCGGACGGGUGAGUAACACGUGGAUAACCUACCUAUAAGACUGGGAUAACUUCGGGAAACCGGAGCUAAUACCGGAUAAUAUUUUGAACCGCAUGGUUCAAAAGUGAAAGACGGUCUUUCUGUCACUUAUAGAUGUAUCCGCGCUGCAUUAGCUAGUUGGUAAGGUAACGGCUUACCAAGUCAACGAUGCAUAGCCGACCUGAGAGGGUGAUCGGCCACACUGGAACUGAGACACGGUCCAGACUCCUACGGGAGGCAGCAGUAGGGAAUCUUCGGCAAUGGGCGAAAGCCUGACGGAGCAACGCCGCGUGAGUGAUGAAGGUCUUCGGAUCGUAAAACUCUGUUAUUAGGGAAGAACAUAUGUGUAAGUAACUGUGCACAUCUUGACGGUACCUAAUCAGAAAGCCACGGCUAACUACGUG
rnacentral:rRNA from 1 species